rnacentral:rRNA from 1 species
GACGAACGCUGGCGGCGUGGGAUUAGGCAUGCAAGUCGAACGGUAUCAUCCUUUCGGGGGUGAGAGAGUGGCGAACUGGUGAGUAACACGUAGGUUAUCUACCCUCAAGACGGGGAAACCCAGGGAAACUUGGGCUAAUACCGGAUGUGAGCAACUUUUAGUUGUUUGAAGGGUGGCGUAAGCUGUCGCUUGGGGAUGAGCCUGCGUCCUAUUAGUUAGUUGGUGAGGUAACGGCUCACCUAGGCAAUGAUAGGUAGGCGGCCUUAACGGGUGGUCGCCCACACUGGGAUUGAGAUACGGCCCAGACUCCUACGGGAGGCAGCAGUCGAGAAUAGUCUACAAUGGUCGGAAGACUGAUAGUGCGACGCCGCGUGAACGAUGAAUCCCUUCGGGGUGUAAAGUUCUUUUAUAUGUGAGCAGUGCUUCUUAUAUUAACAGUAUGGGGAGAGAGAUAUUAGCAUAUGAAUAAGCAACGGCUAACUCCGUG